rnacentral:lncRNA from 12 species
GUACACAAAUAGGGUAGCCAGAGAACAUCCUGCAGCAGAAGCCCCAGAUGCUUGAGGGUGAAAGUCCUCAGUGUGGUUGGAAACUGCCCACCAAAGCUGCAGGUGACCUUCUGAGAAGGUUUCGGAAGCUGUACCACUCCAUCAAUCUCCAAAAAGUUUUUCCACCGACGGUGACUUUUUCAAGGUCUCCCAGAGGUCGUACAAAUAACCAGCAUCCUUUCAUCCUAAACACUACUAAGCCAAGGUUGAGAUAUGAGCCUAUUAAAUCCGGUUCAAAAAGAAUUUUAUUUUGCCGAUGAUCUCAUUUAUUAAUUGCUGACUGCCUUUUAAAACCUUCGGUGGGAGACAAAGAGACCUUCAAAUCCUUUUCUCUGAGAAGUAAAGCUUUCAUUUACGGAGUCCAGAUGGGCUGUACUUUAAGUAUUAAAGUUCAAAUGCUUUAACCACCAACAGACGAGGAGGUAUUUUUCCCGGUGCUGUUCCACAGGCGCCGCGCAGCCGUUCCUCAAGCCGGGCCAAAGGAAGCAUCAAUUGAAACGAGAUUUGCUCACGGGACCCUCGACGAUCACAAUCAGCGCAAGAUACUAGGGAGUUUAGGAAACGGGUCUAUUAAGUGACAAUUAAAGCUGCCAGCCUUGCAGAGCUUAUUUGCAGCUACCCCGACCCCCGGCGGACAGGCGUGUGUGGCCGCGGGGACAACGGGGUCCGCCAAGGACGGUCAAGGACGGUCAAGGACGGUCAAGGACGGUCAAGGACGCGCGAGCCCCGGGAGGCCGGCCUCGCCCUCCCCCGGGCCUCGGCCGC